GACGAACGCUGGCGGCGCGCCUAAUACAUGCAAGUCGAGCGCAGGAAAUCAUCCGAACCCUUCGGGGGGACGUUGGUGGAAUGAGCGGCGGACGGGUGAGUAACACGUAAAGAACCUGCCCUCAGGUCUGGGAUAACCACGAGAAAUCGGGGCUAAUACCGGAUGGGUCAUCGGACCGCAUGGUCCGAGGAUGAAAGGCGCUUCAGCGUCGCCUGGGGAUGGCUUUGCGGUGCAUUAGCUAGUUGGUGGGGUAAUGGCCCACCAAGGCGACGAUGCAUAGCCGACAUGAGAGGGUGAUCGGCCACACUGGGACUGAGACACGGCCCAGACUCCUACGGGAGGCAGCAGUAGGGAAUCUUCCACAAUGGACGAAAGUCUGAUGGAGCAACGCCGCGUGAACGAUGAAGGCCUUCGGGUCGUAAAGUUCUGUUGUAAGGGAAGAACAAGUGCCGCAGGCAAUGGCGGCACCUUGACGGUACCUUGCGAGAAAGCCACGGCUAACUACGUGCCAGCAGCCGCAGUAA
rnacentral:rRNA from 1 species